rnacentral:lncRNA from 1 species
CUGAAGUGGAAUUCAUCAGCUUUGAAGGAAUGAGAAACUUCAAGUGCAGAAGGAUUGUCUAGGACGGAGUCCGCGGCAGCUCCCUUUCUCGACCCACUCACCGCCUCCCCUUCUAUUCUGGGCCUGGAGUAUCAAAGACGCCAAAGUGCGUAGAUCUGCACCCGGGAUCCUGGCUGGCGAACCCCGGGCCACUGAGGCGGAACGUGAGAACUUAACCACUUCGCCACUGGGCCGGCCCCUAAUAUUCCACACAUAAGUGAAAUACAGGAUUUGUGUUUCUCUGUCUGACUUAUUUCACUUAGCAUAACGCCUUCAUGGUACACCCCUGUUAUCGCAAAUGGUAGGAUUGCCUCAUCUUUUACACCUUACAGGAAACCACAAAGAGAGGAAGGAGGAGAUGGCUGAGACAUAUAGUCGAAACCAGUCAAAACCAGUUGAAGGCAACCUGGCAGUCUGACUUAACCUGACAUAGACCCCGCAGCUUAUUAUUCACUCAUUGUAAUAUAUUAUCAUGAUACAUAACACACCCACCAGUGCCAUGACAGUUUACAACUGCCAUGACAACAAUGGAAACAAACCACAUAAGGACCAAAGACGGACGGCAACCUCAUUUCCCAGAAAAGCCUGCCCAGGUCCCCAUGUUGCUGUGAAUUGCUCUCCUCUCCAUCGCCUGACCCCUUACAACGGCUGCUGGGUCGCCC